UCGAUUUCUCUUUCACAACCACAGUAAACCAGAUGCAAAGUAAAAGCAAGCCAACAAUAUACCCUAAUCCCAGCAUAAACCCUAACCCCAAUCCAUUAAGUUUCAGUGGAGAUUAAAAGAUACAGAGGAAAUAGCUUGCAAAAAUUGAAGAAAAUAAACAACGAGAAAUAAAAUUGAAAGGAAAUCUAGGUUUUUGUGUGACUACUUUUGAGCAAUUUUUGGACAGAUUGAAGCAGCAUUUUGGACUAUUUUGCUUGUUGCUGUUUUAUUGCUUUUUGAAUGCAGGUUUCGCUUGGUCUAUUUCCGUGUAAAGUUUGGACUAUUAGGGACUGUUUUUGCAGGUAGUAGUAUGCAGGUUGUUGGACAGCAUCAACACAUUGGAGCAACAUAAUUUUUUUGGAGUUUUGUGGCUAUUCUUUUGCAGUGGGCAUGAUGUUGAUGAUGGAUGAGGCAAUGGAUUAUGGAGACCGAUGAUGACAUGAAAACAAUUCUUAACUUGUUUUUUUUCUUUUGCUGUAACUUAUAUUAUAUGGUUAAUAUAAUACAAAUCAAAGUGUAAGGAGAAAGUUUACCAUUUAAUUAAAAUAAUUAUUCACUUGAUAA